GACGAACGCUGGCGGCGUGCCUAAUACAUGCAAGUCGAACGCUUCUUUCCUCCCGAGUGCUUGCACUCAAUUGGAAAGAGGAGUGGCGGACGGGUGAGUAACACGUGGGUAACCUACCCAUCAGAGGGGGAUAACACUUGGAAACAGGUGCUAAUACCGCAUAACAGUUUAUGCCGCAUGGCAUAAGAGUGAAAGGCGCUUUCGGGUGUCGCUGAUGGAUGGACCCGCGGUGCAUUAGCUAGUUGGUGAGGUAACGACUCACCAAGGCCACGAUGCAUAGCCGACCUGAGAGGGCGAUCGGCCACACUGGGACUGAGACACGGCCCAGACUCCUACGGGAGGCAGCAGUAGGGAAUCUUCGGCAAUGGACGAAAGUCUGACCGAGCAACGCCGCGUGAGUGAAGAAGGUUUUCGGAUCGUAAAACUCUGUUGUUAGAGAAGAACAAGGACGUUAGUAACUGAACGUCCCCUGACGGUAUCUAACCAGAAAGCCACGGCUAACUACGUG
rnacentral:rRNA from 1 species